rnacentral:rRNA from 1 species
ACUCCUACGGGAGGCAGCAGUGGGGAAUAUUGGACAAUGGGGGGAACCCUGAUCCAGCCAUGCCGCGUGUGUGAAGAAGGCCUUAUGGUUGUAAAGCACUUUAAGCGAGGAGGAGGCUACUGAGACUAAUACUCUUGGAUAGUGGACGUUACUCGCAGAAUAAGCACCGGCUAACUCUGUGCCAGCAGCCGCGGUAAUACAGAGGGUGCGAGCGUUAAUCGGAUUUACUGGGCGUAAAGCGUGCGUAGGCGGCCAUUUAAGUCAAAUGUGAAAUCCCCGAGCUUAACUUGGGAAUUGCAUUCGAUACUGGAAUGGCUAGAGUAUGGGAGAGGAUGGUAGAAUUCCAGGUGUAGCGGUGAAAUGCGUAGAGAUCUGGAGGAAUACCGAUGGCGAAGGCAGCCAUCUGGCCUAAUACUGACGCUGAGGUACGAAAGCAUGGGGAGCAAACAGGAUUAGAUACCCUGGUAGGCGUAGU